UACGGGGGGGGCAAGCGUUGUUCGGAAUUACUGGGCGUAAAGGGCUCGUAGGCGGCCAACUAAGUCGGACGUGAAAUCCCCAGGCUCAACCUGGGAACUGCGUCCGAUACUGGAUGGCUUGAAUUCGGGAGAGGGAUGCAGAAUUCCAGGUGUAGCGGUGAAAUGCGUAGAUAUUCGGAAGAACACCAGUGGCGAAGGCGGCUCACUGGUCCGGUACUGACGCUGAGGUGCGAAAGCGUGGGGAGCAAACAGG
rnacentral:rRNA from 1 species